rnacentral:rRNA from 5 species
AACGACUCUCGGCAACGGAUAUCUCGGCUCUUGCAUCGAUGAAGAACGUAGCGAAAUGCGAUACUUGGUGUGAAUUGCAGAAUCCCGUGAACCAUCGAGUUUUUGAACGCAAGUUGCGCCCGAGGCCUUUAGGUCGAGGGCACGUCUGCCUGGGC